AACGAACGCUGGCGGCAUGCCUAACACAUGCAAGUCGAACGAAGGCUUCGGCCUUAGUGGCGCACGGGUGCGUAACGCGUGGGAAUCUGCCCUUAGGUUCGGAAUAACAGCUGGAAACGGCUGCUAAUACCGGAUGAUAUCGCGAGAUCAAAGAUUUAUCGCCUGAGGAUGAGCCCGCGUUGGAUUAGGUAGUUGGUGGGGUAAAGGCCUACCAAGCCGACGAUCCAUAGCUGGUCUGAGAGGAUGAUCAGCCACACUGGGACUGAGACACGGCCCAGACUCCUACGGGAGGCAGCAGUGGGGAAUAUUGGACAAUGGGCGAAAGCCUGAUCCAGCAAUGCCGCGUGAGUGAUGAAGGCCCUAGAGUUGUAAAGCUCUUUUACCCGGGAAGAUAAUGACUGUACCGGGAGAAUAAGCCCCGGCUAACUCCGUGCCAGCCGCCGCUGUAACAC
rnacentral:rRNA from 1 species